GUAGCCCGAAGCAGUUUUAUCAGGUAAAGCGAAUGAUUAGAGGUAUCGGGGAAGAAACUUCCUCGACCUAUUCUCAAACUUUAAAUAGGUAAGAAGUCCGACUUGCUC
rnacentral:rRNA from 1 species